GUUGGGAGAAAAAAGGCAUGCUUAUAAGCCGAUUCUGCUGUGAGGGAAAUAUUGAUGACUAUGAAUUCGUUUUCGACAUCAGAAUAAGCUGCAUACGAGUAAUAAGUAUGUUAGAUAAGAGAGCGCAACCAUUUGAUCUCACAUUCGUGACGCUGCCCGAACGAUUCCACCAAUUAUCUAAUCUAUUUUAAAUGCGAACUACGGCACACAUAGGUCGUGCAACAUUGGAUUGUCUCCGAUAUAUACAUAGGUUACAUAUAGGGACCCGCCCGGUCUGAUCGAUCUGUUUUGCUACCCAUUAAUUGCCGUCCGAAUGCCAUUUUGUGUCAUUGCGGCAUUCGGAGUGCAUUUUUUCCCUACUCCCGGCUGGUUAUGUGUGCCAUUUAAGUGAGUAAUUAGCGGUCAGCUAUUCAACGCCUGUUUCAAUGUAAGAUGUCAAGUGAUUAGUUUAAUUGCGAUUAGUAUAAAAUAUGCGCAUAAUUCCGGUCUGCCCCCAACCGGCCAGAGAGUGAAUGAUGUGGCGUGUGGCUGCCCGAUCCGGUGGGCAAGUGAGUGUCUCUAUGUGAGUGAGAUUUACUUUCGUUUUCAUUACGCGACGAAGGCAGCAACUGCAGCAACAGCAGCAGCAGCAUCAGCAGCACCAACAGCAACAGCAGCAACAUCAGCAGCAACAGCAGCAGCAGCAGCACCAACUACUACGACUCGAAUUCCGUGUUGAUGCACAAACUCAUAAGUCAUGUUGCUUGUUGCUGCACCACGGCAACAUACACAAAGCCAAUGGGGAAGUUGUUAAUGCAACACUGACAGCAGCAGCAACAGCAACAACCAAGUGCAACAACAACACCCAAGUGCAACAGCAACUGCAGCGGCUGGGGAAGUUUUGUUUGUGCAGCCGAUUGAUCAUUUAAGCCAAGGCGCUGCCUGUCAAUUUGUUGUGGUGGGCGUUGGCAUUUGUUCGGCAUUUUCGGUUGUUGUUCAAUUAAGAGGCGCCUUUUGACGGCGCUGACUUGUCUUGCGAAGCGGCAGCAGCAGCAGCAGCAGUACCCGCCGGAUAAUCAAAAUCAGAAACUUGAAAUCCCAAAAUCGCUUGCCCAAUCGAAGACAAUUUGAAGAAAAGUUCCCUACCGCUCGGCGACUGUCUGGUGGGAACUUUCCCGCCGUAUUGCGAAAAUAAUAACAAUAAUGGCUGUGUGCUUUGGCAUUUAAUUGAAAUCGUAAAGCAGUCGGUCGGCAGAAAAAAUAAGUUUUUACGCAUGCCUCUGAACCCCGCGAUGCGAUGACAAUCGGCGGAAGCCUUGCGGGUCAAGACGGCAACGCUCGGUACCAAUUGGUCAGGCCAGACAAACUGGGCACGUAGAUCAGCUGGAAACCAAGUUGGAUUCGCAGUCGUCGUCGGAGUCGGGAGAAAUCGCGGUUCGGGACCUUGAAUGUGGCUGAUGCAGAGGACGCAAUUUCUCUCUCUGCUGCAUUUGCCGCUUGUUAUUCAAUUGGCCGUUGCAUCAUCACUGUGGCAACACACACACACACACAUCCGUGUGUGCCCCUCGAACGGCGGAUGCUCUGCAAGAGUUCGAGAAACUCGACAAUUAGACAAAUGGUAGGCCGGACAACUCAACUGAUCAAUAUCGGGCAGCAUUUGCAUGCCAGCAGCAACAGCAGCAGCAACUACAAUUUCUUAAAGAUGCGCGCAUCACAUUACCAACAACCAACGGGCGCUUUCCACCCGACCGGCGAUCAGAUGAAAACGAAAGUGCUUCAAGUGGUUGGCCAGCUGUUGCUGCUGCUGCUGAUGUUGCUCCUACCAAUGUUGCUGCUGCUGAAAUUUAUCUACUGCCUUGGCUUGGUUGCUGUGUGUUUCCUGUAUCUCCAAGUUUAUGUAUGCUGCUCUCAUGUAGCUGCUGCUGCUGCUGCUGUUGCUGUGUUGCAUUGGGUUUUAUGCCGCUGUUGCCACUGAAAUUGCAGCUUCAAUGGCAAUGGCAUGCCACACGCUUGCCGCAUGCAUUUGCAAACUGUUUUGCAUGGCUUUUGUCAAACAAAGAGACUCUGCAGACAGGCAAUUUGACUUUGUCGAUGCCCAUAUAAUUAAUUGUUUUAUUGUUAUUUCAUCUCGAGUUGAGUAACUGCCAGGGGUUACAGCUAUCGACGUCUAUAUCAGCCAUUUUCGCCUACGUUUGCGUAACAAACUGGCGACAGCAGAAGCAAAAGCAAAAGCAGUAGCAGAAGCUCAAGGGUAAUUAGUUUGACAAACUUUGAAAGCAAAUGUUGCUGUUUCGGAGUCUGUCUAGGGUUAAUGUACUUGUCAUGCGGGUCUCACUUUGGCCACCCAUCUGGAACCGAAAGUUCUCUCAACUGAUUUUUGCCGAAUUCCGAGCCAAGCUAGUUGAGUUUUUACUUAAAUAGUACAUGUUGGCUGUAGGUGCUGUAAUGUUUGUUUUUACUUUUCAAAUAUACACUUAUACUUUUUGGCUAAUUACCACGUUUAUGGGGUUAUUACUCGUUUUCAGGUAUAGUAUACUGUGUGAUUUUAAAUACAGCUUCAACAAAAUUUAGCACAAUACGUCAUCAUUGAUUUUAAAACUAUAAUUUAACUAAAAGCUAAUAAGCUGUAAACAAUUUAUAAGUGGAAAUACAAAAAUUUAAGUCUUUGAGCAAAACUCUUCAAUGGCAAACUUAAAGUAUUAUUAAGCGCAAGUAGUAAACUAAUAAAAGUAAAUUGAAAAAAAUUUAAAAUUUAAUGUAGGCAUUGUGUAGGCCCACUUUGGUUUCAACAACAUGUAAGGUAAUUUUGGCUGCUCCAUUUAAAAAAUGAACAUUUAUGCUUUAUGCCAGGGUAUUUGUCUUUCGUCAAACAUAAUUGUUGUUUUAUGAGCUUGUGCUGGCCGUGUUUGCGCGUGUUUGUUAGAUUGCCGGCUACUUAAACAAUUAGUGGGCUGUUAAUGCAAUAAAUUUGAAUUAACGUGCAUCUGUAUAUAUGGCUUGGAAUCGAGGCAAAUCGUGCGGAGCUUGCCCCGCGAAAUUCCGAAUUCCGAAUACCGAACACCGAAUGCCGUCCGAUCAACAGGUGUGGGAAGCCCCAUAAAAACAUAAUCACAGAUGAGCUCCCAUUUGGCUAACCAGCUUUCCUCUCUUUUCGCCCAGACAAUGGGACUGCGACUGGAUCGGACUGCGCUGACUUUCCACAUCUGGGCUAACAAGAUUGCAGCAGUGGCUAAGGGCCCAUUGUGUACGGGCCUUGGUGCGGGUUUUUGGCCAUUCCGAUCGGCCGGAGUGCUUUCCAUCCAACAGGCCACACAAGAUGCCAAGAUGUGGAGAUGCCGCCUAAUAGCGUCUCACCUGCAGAGGCAGUGGCAGUGUUAGUCGCACUGGAAGCUGUUUCUUUUUAUUAAUAGCAAUUAGUUGGAUGGCGAAAAAAGGCAACAAAUGUAUGUAUGUGUAUCCAAGCUGCCUGGAAGUUGCGGCCUCUUGUUUGUUUUCGGUUUUCUUGCUGGAUUUUUGUUGUAUUUUUUGAUUUGGUUUAUCCGCGUUUUUCCUCGCUUUUCUUCUAGCGGUUGUUUUAUGUGGCGCAAAAUUUGCGGUUUCCAUGUGGCGCUGAUGCGAAAUCGCUGUAAAUGAACCACCACUCGACUCGACUGUGUGAGCGGAGAUAUAUGCUUGUCAAGUCGAAAAUUAUUCGUACCGGCAUUCGGACGGCUUGAACUCGAUUGAACCCAAAGCGAAUUGCGAGUACGUAUCAGCAGCGACUCCCCCGGGAGAUUGUCAAAUAUCAAGGUGAGUUGAUAUAAAAUACGAAAAUUAUGUCAUGCUGGUCCGAGAUUAUGGCGCACUGCAGAUGGCACAGUCAGAUAAAGCCAAUUAUCCAGCACACAAACAAGUAAAACGGGCAAAGAAAAGCAAUAACAGUGAGGCUGCACAAUUACUAAUUGCAUUUUAGAUUGAGGCCUGUCAAAAGCCAAGGCAAUUGCAGCAAAUUUGAUUUUCAAAUGAGCCUGCAAUCAGUGGAUCAGCAGCCGCUCGAUGACGUCCACUUACGCGGGGGUCUGAUAAGAGAGAAGCCCCUUUUACUUAUCACUCCAGUCAGCGAAGAAUCCCCCAUGGCCAACCAUUGCUCUUAUCUGGCAAACAUUUCGUUGUGAAAGUGACGCAGUCUCAGAUACAAAUGCGGCAAUUGCCCUGCUUUACAAAAAAAAAAACACAAACAGAGCAAGACAACCGCAGUUUUUGUUUACCCAAAAUUCUUUGGCAAUGCUUGGCCAGGCCAUGUCAUAACCUUAGCCUAGACCUCACACAUCACCCAGUCACCCAGUCAUCCAGCUACCCAAUCCCCUAAUCACCCACUCAUCCACAUAUCCCUGCCCUCCGAAAAGGGACACCCACUCAGUGGCAGGCGAGGUCGUCGGAGAUAUAAAUUACCAUAGUCAAGUGGAACGGUCUGGUUUGGCCUGCCGCUUGCAACAUUUUUGGCCCAGAAGUCGAGACCCACUGCUGACUGCUGACUGCUGGCUUUUUCAUGGCUUCCGUCGCCACAGUCGUUGCCAAAAUCAAUGAAAUUUUCAGCUUCCGCUGUCAUUGCGCCCGUCCCGCCCGACAUUCGAGCCAAGUGGGGAUUGUAAAAUUGGGCCGGCGAGGCAAUAAUUGUUAUUAUACCAUCCGUUUGUCUGGUAUUUAUUUUGCAUAUGUGCUUGCAUACGGGUAUUGGCCAAAUUUUAAGGCAAAAUCGUUAGGCAGACGGGCUUGUCAUUACUCUGAACUGUUUGCUGCACUGUUUACAUAUUGCAAAUAAUGCUCCGAAUUCCUUUUGGUAACAAUAUUUUGUUUAGCCUUAGAGAGAGCCUCUCAAUUUCACAGAAAGUAUGCAAAUGCUCGCAUGAUGAGAGAAAUGCCUUAAUUUCAUACUUUAUAUUCAUGUUUUUCAAAAACGUACGAACAUGACAAUAAAAUAUCCAGUUUGUUUUAAUUUUGAUUUUAAUUGCUACAAGUUGGAAAAGCUUUACUUCCUUCAAAUACGCGAUUUGUUAAAGAAAUAAAGUUUAUGCAGUCAAUUUGUUAUAAGAAAUUCCAUUUGAAAAUGUUUGAACUCUACACGUAUUUCAGCAUUUACUUUUUCAUGGAUGAUUAUUUAUGGCUUUGUUUCCAUGGACAAGAUUUGUCAUUUAAAUAGCUCCUCAAACAUAAGAUACUGGCCUGCAAAUAAGUCUUGCACUAUCAUUGCGAUUUGUCAAGUACAUAUCACAUCAGCUGACUGGGAGAUAGUAGAUAUUGUUUAAUGUUUACAUAGGCCUACGAUAUCCAGCAAAAUCGUUCUUUUUAUAGAGCAUUGCCGUUCCACUGAGCCCCAAUUUCUAAUUUCUCAUGUAUUUAGUAUUUUGUUUGCACUGCUUCCUGGCUGUAAGCAAAAAAGAAUUUCGAAUUCCUUUGGAAGGUCAGCGGGGCCAAAAAAGUGGGCCUAGUGGCGGUGGACAGGCUUUUGGCGAGUCAAAUUAAAAUUCAGUUUAUGUGGUCUGAAGAGUGGAAAGCUGAGGGCGUUAUGUAAGCCUUUGUUUUGUGGGUGGGAAAUGUAAUAAUUCCGCAAUGACCCUCAAAGCAGGUGGAAAUAAUUGCGCAAGCGUUUCCACCGGGCCGGCGGUAAAUUGAAUUUGGCCCGCCUGAAAGGAAAUCUGCAACUGCAGCGAAAAUCUCGGGUCAUCAAUUCGCUAUUCGGCAUGACUGCAAGGAUGCGAAGGAUCUGGGUCUGGGCAUUCCAGUGCUGCGACUAAACUACACGAGACACAUUCCGUUUGGCAAAACAUAAAUCUGGCAGCCAGCACACACAAGUGUGCCCUCCCAAAAAGAAAACCCUGGCUUACCCCCCAAAAAAGAAAACAAACACACAAACAGUGAAAUGAGAGAACAAACAAAUAGUCAGAGAUGCGAUUGCGACUACAGAUGCAGAUACAGAUACUGGUGCAGACGCGGAUACAGAUACAGACACGGAUCCAGAUACUCCUGCUGCAAUCGCAUGCAGAAAUGCUGAAAACAUUGGAGGACAUGUGUAAUUUCUCACGUGCAACUGCGGGGUCUCUCUCUUUGUUGAUUCCCAUCCCGCCACUUUACCACUUCUUCACACAAUUGGAGGAGAAAUGGAAGGACGCCCAGCUGAAGACAAACAAAAUGCCAAAUGAAACAAACAAUAAAAAUGUUUGUAUGUACGUAGGUAGCAGCAGCGGCGAGCAUAAAAGCAAAGUGCUUAAAAAAUAAUAGUAAAUUACACAGACAAGCACCGGGUGCCCGGCCACGACACGCCCCCUUUUUGCAACACACAGCCAUCCAUGACAAGCUUGCGUUAUUUUGGGGCAAGCUGAUUUAAUCCCGGGCAGCAGGAGCUGCACAAGCAGCAAGGACGAAGGCGGUGGCACCUCGUGCCCAGACGGCCGUUGGGCGGGGGGCGUUGAAGGGUUAACGCUUUGCUCACCUGUCGUGGCCCAAAACGCCGCAAUUUGCAACGCCCCACCUGGUGAAAUCAGUGGGCGGAGGACCUUUGGCUGGGAGAUGGAAAUUAGGAGGGGUCAACGGAUUGCCCUAACGUUUUUUCGGCUGCUCGCCUUUCGCGGCACAUUUAAAUUCAAAGGGAAUUCAACUUUCGCCGGAUUAUAUGCAAUUUCCUUCGCCGAAACACUCAAAUUGUUUUACUCACCAUUUGCGAUAUGAGAAUUCAUGGCACAUGGUACAAGUUUUCCGCUUCUGAUUAUGCCAAAUGAGAUGAUUCCGUCGAAACGGCAGUGAGUGCUGCUGCAAUGGAGAGUCCAGAGCCAGAGACUCAUCCUCGGCUGGGAUACAAAUGUUUUCAUUAAAUUCGGUUUGUUUGGUGGUUUCUUUUGUGACCCGCUUUGUUCUCGGUCGCCAUUGUGGGGUCCAUUGCUGCCAUUUGCUACCGGCGGAAGGCCACCCAUCUGCCACCACCCACUUUUGUUGCCAAGCUGGAACACUAAACAAUACAGCAAAAUUACUUAAUUUCAUGUUGGUCUAAUCAAGUUGCCAUUGCCGAGCAGGUAAGCGACGAGUGUGUGGCUGGCUGGCACGGAACGUCCUCCGCACAAAGGUGGCCAGCGGGAGCUGGAGCAGCAGAACCAUCUGCUGCGGGGGAGGAGGGCAGCUGAGGGUCCUGGGUGGCAGCCCUGCUGUACUCAAAUAAUUUGCCGUUACCGUGCACCUUUAAUGUGCCUACACUUCAAGGAUUUUGUAAUUACCAUUAAAA
rnacentral:sRNA from 1 species